rnacentral:rRNA from 1 species
UGGGGAAUAUUGGACAAUGGGGGAAACCCUGAUCCAGCCAUGCCGCGUGUGUGAAGAAGGCCCUCGGGUUGUAAAGCGCUUUCAGCGAGGAAGAACGCCUAGCGGUUAAUACCCGCUAGGAAAGACAUCACUCGCAGAAGAAGCACCGGCUAACUCCGUGCCAGCAGCCGCGGUAAUACGGAGGGUGCAAGCGUUAAUCGGAAUUACUGGGCGUAAAGCGCGCGUAGGUGGCUUGAUAAGCCGGUUGUGAAAGCCCCGGGCUCAACCUGGGAACGGCAUCCGGAACUGUCAAGCUAGAGUGCAGGAGAGGAAGGUAGAAUUCCCGGUGUAGCGGUGAAAUGCGUAGAGAUCGGGAGGAAUACCAGUGGCGAAGGCGGCCUUCUGGACUGACACUGACACUGAGGUGCGAAAGCGUGGGUAGCAAACAGGAUUAGAUACCCCUGUAGUCCCUGAGCGGGCUGGCAAGGCGCAU